rnacentral:lncRNA from 1 species
AGCAUUAGGGGAGCCCACGGCUACAAAAACAAGUGAGUGAGAAGAGGUGGGAGGAAGAGAAACUACGCCACCUCCCCUGCAGCCGAGUGCACGCAGCAGCCUGGCGUGACAAGUGGGCGACGCCGGGGGGCAGGGAGCCGGGGUCCUUGGCCCUGGCCGGGGACCCCACCGCCCACCGCGCGGAGGACAACUUUUAGCCGGCAGCCCAGACCAGCGCGGCACCUGUCUCCGGAGUCUCCACCGCUCCUCCCGAUUCAUCCCAGGGAAAUUCUCAAGAAUACGCUCUACAAAUCUACGUGCGCAUCAUUUUCACCUCGCGUCGCGCCCGGGAGGAAGGAACGAGGCAAGGAGCUAAAGCAGCGUGCGUUCAGCCCUGGGGCAUUUUAUUAAUGCUUUUACGAGUUAGAAGAGUUGGGAUAAUUUGCCAUCUGGAGUUUCUCUGCCUUGCUGAUCUGAGCUCAGACCUGCCAAUUUACCAGAGAUAAUUGAUAACACCCUGUAACAGCUGAGAGGAAAAUGGAAGAAACGGAGAUACUUUUAGUGAAGCAGAAUAAACCACUGAACAGUGCUUUGAUUUUCCCAUUAGGAAAAAUGAGGAAGCUGUGAGUACCAGUGGAAGGAACGAGCCAGGAAGAGGGACUGGAACCAUCUCAGAAGCCAUGCCCCUCAGGCUGGAACUUGCCCUGUCUCCUCGCAGAUGAGCUACCUCUUGUGUUUAAGAAUUAAAGGAAGAUGAGCUAGGAAUCAAGAAAUACGCAGAACUGAUUCCUGUCACUGGCGCCACCCUGCCACUUGCCCAGAGCUGUGGUAUAAAUUUUUUUAAUAGGCUGAAAUAAAAAUAUGAAUAGCAUUUUGGUAUUAAGCAUUAAAUUGAUAAAGGCUAUGAGAUACACCUGCUCUCAACCAUGUUAAUUUUUUAUUAUUGGUAUUAAUAAAUUAUUACUUACUAACAUAUUAACAAGAAUUGCAUUGAGAAACAAAGCAUCCACAGGCCAAAUCUUCUGAAUUUCAAAUGUUUAUAUUAAUGCGUUGUAUUCUAGAAAAGUAGAAUUGUCUUAAGUAGCUUUGUAAUAUAAAGUCAUCUAUCAGCCCAUUACACCUAUUAGAAUGUUUUAACCUUUAUUUCCCACUUUUUUGUUUCUAGACUGAGUGUACUUGGUCUGGUAUUUGUGGCAUAACUUACGGAACACAUAAGAAUGAUACAGAUACUAUUUAAUGAUGACCUAAUACAAGCUUAGAUAGCUAAGGUGAAAGCUUCUAUGGCCUUAACAUUUUCCUCUUGAAGAAUGUAUUUUCUGUAAUAAAAUACAGUGGCUACUUGAAAUCUAUAAACUUAUGUGAGGUCUGGAUAAAUCUGAGCAACUUUCUUCUUUGUGCUCCAGGAACCUACGCACUAUAUAUAUAAAUAAAGCUUAAGUAAACAUCA